AUUGAACGCUGGCGGCAGGCCUAACACAUGCAAGUCGAACGAGUGGCGGACGGGUGAGUAAUGUCUGGGCAACUGCCUGAUGGAGGGGGAUAACUACUGGAAACGGUAGCUAAUACCGCAUACCAUCAGAUGUGCCCAGAUGGGAUUAGCUAGCUGGUGGGGUAACGGCUCACAAAGGGGACGAUCCCUAGCUGGUCGGAGAGGAUGACCAGCCACACUGGAACUGAGACACGCUCCAGACGCCUACGGGAGGCAGCAGUGGGUAAUGUUGCACAAUGGGGGCAGGCUGAAUGCACCCCUGCCGCGUGUAUGAAGAAGGCCUUCGGGUUGUAAGGUACUUUCAGCGGGGAGGCGUUACCCGCAGAAGAAGCACCGGCUAACUCCGUGCCAGCAGCCGCGGUAAUUC
rnacentral:rRNA from 1 species